UUGAACGCUGGCGGAAUGCUUUACACAUGCAAGUCGAGCGGCAGCGCGGGGCAACCUGGCGGCGAGCGGCGAACGGGUGAGUAACAUAUCGGAACGUACCCUAUCGUGGGGGAUAACACAUCGAAAGAUGUGCUAAUACCGCAUACGACCUGAGGGUGAAAGCGGGGGAUCGCAAGACCUCGCGCGACAGGAGCGGCCGAUAUCGGAUUAGCUAGUUGGUGGGGUAAAGGCUCACCAAGGCGACGAUCCGUAGCGGGUCUGAGGGGAUGAUCCGCCACACGGGGACUGAGACACGGCCCAGACUCCUACGGGAGGCAGCAGUGGGGAAUUUUGGACAAUGGGCGAAAGCCUGAUCCAGCCAUGCCGCGUGAGUGAAGAAGGCCUUCGGGUUGUAAAGCUCUUUCGGCGGGGAAGAAAUCGCAUUCUCUAAUACAGGAUGUGGAUGACGGUACCCGAAUAAGAAGCACCGGCUAACUACGU
rnacentral:rRNA from 1 species